rnacentral:rRNA from 1 species
CGGACGGGUGAGUAACGCGUGAGAACCUACCUUCAGAAUGGGGACAACAGUUGGAAACGACUGCUAAUACCCAAUGUGCCGAAAGGUGAAAGAUUUAUCGUCUGAAGAUGGGCUCGCGUCUGAUUAGCUAGAUGGUGGGGUAAGAGCCUACCAUGGCAACGAUCAGUAGCUGGUCUGAGAGGAUGAGCAGCCACACUGGGACUGAGACACGGCCCAGACUCCUACGGGAGGCAGCAGUGGGGAAUUUUCCGCAAUGGGCGAAAGCCUGACGGAGCAAUACCGCGUGAGGGAGGAAGGUCCUUGGAUUGUAAACCUCUUUUAUCAGGGAAGAAGUUCUGACGGUACCUGAUGAAUAAGCAUCGGCUAACUCCGUGCCAGCAGCCGCGGUAAUACGGAGGAUGCAAGCGUUAUCCGGAAUUAUUGGGCGUAAAGCGUCCGUAGGUGGUUAUGCAAGUCUGCCGUUAAAGAAUGGAGCUUAACUCCAUAGGAGCGGUGGAAACUGCAAGACUAGAGUACAGUAGGGGUAGCAGGAAUUCCCAGUGUAGCGGUGAAAUGCGUAGAUAUUGGGAAGAACAUCGGUGGCGAAAGCGUGCUACUGGGCUGAAACUGACACUGAGGGACGAAAGCUAGGGUAGCGAAAGGGAUUAGAUACCCCUGUAGUC